rnacentral:rRNA from 1 species
AACGAACGCUGGCGGCAUGCCUAACACAUGCAAGUCGAACGAUACCUUCGGGUCUAGUGGCGCACAGGUUCGUAACGCGUGGGAACCUGCGCUUAGGUUCGGAAUAACUCCCCGAAAGUGGUGCUAAUACCGGUUAAUGUCUUCGGACCAAAGAUUUCUCGGCUUUGUAUGGGCCCGCGUUGGAUUAUCUAUGUGGUAGGGUAACGGCAUGCCAAGGCGACGUUGCAUAGCUGUUCUGCACGGAUGAUCAGCCACACUGGGACUGAGACACGGCCCAAACUCCUACGGGGGGGAGCAGUGGAGAAUAUUGGACACUCGAGCAAAGCGUGAUACAGCACUGCCGCGUGAGUGAGGCAUGCCGUAGGGUUGUAAAGCUCGUUUACCCGGGGUGAUAAUGACAGUACCGGGAGAAUAAGCUCCGGCUAACUCCGUG